AUGGAAACAAGAUUGAUGAUAACUUGCGGGUUGGUAUUGGCAAUGCGCAUCAUUGUUUGUGCCUUUUGUUUGUCCGUUUAUGACACUGGUUUAACCUUAUCAUUGCAGAUUGAAGUGCACCUUAAUAAUAAACAACAUGUCACGGGGACAUUGAAACAUUAUGAUCUACGCUAUAAUGUUGCAGUUGUUGAGAUCAUGGGUUCCUACAGUUCUUGUGCAGUGGAUGUGGAAGAGCGUAUUUCUUUCACCCCUAAUAUUGAGGUUUUAGCUGUAGGGCGUCUCUUUGAACGUCCAAAAUUAAUGGCCUCAAGAGGGGUGUUAAUUGACAGAGAAAGCAAACUUGCUUGCGAAGAGCUUGGGAUUUCCACUUGUAAAAUCACCAAGGCUGGGAUUGGAGGGCCUCUUAUUGAUGCUUGUGGGAAUUUGAUUGGCAUGAAUUUCUUCCAUGAUGAAGAAACCCCAUACCUACCGAGGGAAAAAAUUCAGGAAGUCUUGGGAUAUUUUGAUGAACAAUGCAUGUCGAAUGACAGUUGGUCUGAACCAAGUGAUCGUUAUUAUAUACCAGCUUUCUACUCUAUACCGUAUGGUUUGUUCGGAGAUGAGUACUUUGAUAACAAAAAGGAUGCAUAUUCUCCGUCUCCGUUGUUUCUUAUUGUUCACGAGGGUGCAUAUGAGCUCGGGUGCAGAAACUUCAUGUUUGCAUGUGUCAGCAUUGUGGGCUAUGGCUAUUCAUGA
rnacentral:rRNA from 1 species